CAGUCGCCGCGGUAAUACGUAGGUGGCGAGCGUUGUCCGGAAUUAUUGGGCGUAAAGGGAGCGCAGGCGGACAUAUAAGUCCAUCUUAAAAGUGCGGGGCUCAACCCCGUGAGGGGAUGGAAACUGUAUGCCUUGAGUGCAGGAGAGGAAAGCGGAAUUCCCAGUGUAGCGGUGAAAUGCGUAGAUAUUGGGAGGAACACCAGUGGCGAAGGCGGCUUUCUGGACUGUAACUGACGCUGAGGCUCGAAAGCCAGGGGAGCGAACGGGAUUAGAUACCCCAGUAGUCCCUGUCUCUUAUACA
rnacentral:rRNA from 1 species